rnacentral:lncRNA from 1 species
GAUAGCACCUCUGGAAAGUUUGCAACUGUAUAUGUGUAUUAUUUCAAAUAGGUUAUUGACGUGUAUUAUUUUAAAUAUGUAUUCAAAUCACUGUUUUGAUUUUUCAAACUAAACCAUUGUCUCGCCAGCAAUUUCCAAAAAUCACUUUUUAUGCCCCAUUUAUGGGCAUUAUGUUUUCUGGUCUGUGCGUCCCUUCGUCCGUCCGUCCUUCCGUCCGUUCGUCUGUCCCAUUCAGGUUAAAGUUUUUGGUCAAGAUACCUUUUGAUGAAGUUGAAGUCCAAUUAAUUUGAAACUUAGUACACACUAGAACACACCCGUGAUAUCGCGGGUCUGUGACUGAAUUAAAGUAUAUAACUAUGCCUACGCCUUAUUUUAGUAUUGGGAUUGCCAUCUGAUAAAGUCAUGCCGAUUAUAAGAUGCACAGUGUUCUCUGCUUUCAAAAUCUGUCUGUUUGAACCAGUCGACCUGGAACUUAUCAAUUAUUGGUAAUAUUAAUUGAAAACAAAAGAUCCUGGUAAUGGAGUAUUUUUUAAUCAACAGCAUGGUCCUAUAUUUAUUAAUUUAGUUAUAAAUAAAGUUGAAUUCUUUGAUUCGCUGUUUAAUGUC